CAGAACCGAAAUGACUACGAAAGUGGGAA
rnacentral:piRNA from 1 species